rnacentral:rRNA from 1 species
AACGAACGCUGGCGGCAUGCCUAACACAUGCAAGUCGAACGAGACCUUCGGGUCCAGUGGCGCACGGGGGCGUAACGCGUGGGAACCUGCCCUCAGGUUUGGAAUAACUCUCCGAAAGGGGUGCUAAUACCGGACAAGGUCUUCGGACCAAAGAUUUAUCGCCCUGGGUGGGGCCCGAGUUGGAUUAGCUGGUUGGUAGGGUAAAAGCCUACCAAGGCGACGAUCCAUAGCUUGUCUGAGAGGAUGAUCAGCCACACUGGGACUGGGACACGGCCCAGACUCCUCCGGGAGGCAGCAGUGGGGGAUAUUGGACAAUGGGCGAAAGCCUGAUCCAGCAAUGCCGCGUGAGUGAUGUAGGCCUUAGGGUUGUAAAGCUCUUUUACCCGGGAUGAUAAUGACAGUACCGGAAGAAUAAGCUCCGGCUAACUCCGUG